AUGCUGCCCGGGAUAGCCCCGGAGACACCGGGGCUGAGCGACGGCGCCGGGGCGCUCGAACUCCUGUACGCCUCCUUCCCGGUGUCGCCUGUCUCCACAUUCCCCUCCCUUUGCUGCGCCGCCGCCGACGGAGACAAGACGGACCGCGUCAGCCGCCUCCCCGAAGAUGUCCUCCGCCGCGUGGUCUCCCUCCUGCCCGCCAAGGACGGCGCGCGCACCACCGUGCUCUCCUCGCGCUGGCGCGGCCUCUGGCACUCUGCGCCACUCGUCCUCGUGGACACCCACUUGCUCCCCGGGGGCGCUGCGGGGGUUCGGCCGGCCCGCGCACGCGCCGGUGCCGUCUCGCGCUUUGUCUCCGCCGCCCUCGAAGCACAUCCUGGGCCCUUCCCCUUCGCCAGCUUCACCUGCAGUUUCUUGGACGGCGCCCACCGCCGCGUGCUCGCGCGCUGGUUCCAGCUCCUUGCCACCAAGGGCGUCAAGCAGCUCAUCUUCGCCAAUCGCCCUGCCCCGCUUCCCGGCCUGCGCCUCCCUUCCUCACUCUUCAGCUGCCCCUACCUCCGCCGGCUCUGGAUCUGUGCCUGGGUGUUCCCGGAGACCGCCACCCUCCCGCGCGGCGCCGGCUUCCCCAACCUCCGUGAGCUCGUCCUCGGCCGCACCGUCAUGGAGGACAAAGACCUCGAGUUCGUGCUCGGCGUGAGCCCCGUGCUGGAGAUCCUCGUGGUCGCCGGAAGCGAGACCCGAUUGCACGCUUGUCUCGCCAGCCCCAGCCUACGGUGCGCGCAGUUAUGCUUGUCCGCCCUGGACGAGGUCGCCGUGGUGGACGCCCCAAGCCUGGAGCGUCUCUUCCUCAUCAGUGGCAUGACCAAAAUGAGCACGACAGUCAAGAUUGGCCAUGCUCCUAAGCUGCGCUUGCUGGGAUACCUGGAACCAGGAAUGCACAUAAUGCAGAUUGGCAACACCAUCAUCAAGGCUGGAACAAAGGCGAGCGCAAGCACCACCGUCUCAAGCGUCCAGAUGUUGGCCUUGCAACUGCAUUUCGGAGUCCCUGGUGAAAUCAAGAUGCUUCCCAGCUUUCUCAGAUGCUUUCCUAGUGUCGAGACGUUGAUUGUCCAGUCUAUGGACACUAGUGGACCCGCCACCAAGCUCAGCGUCAAGUUCAGGCAGGGCACAAGUCCUAUUGAGUGUGUCCAGUCACAGCUCAAGACUUUGUUUUUCCGUGAGCUACAAGGGCAUCGUGGCGAGUUCCAUUUCCUCACGUUCAUCGCGGAGAAUGCGCAGAAGCUAGAGAGGAUGUACAUCUGGGUGAAAGAAGACCUGAGUUACCCCGCCAAGGUAUCUAUGGGUGCCAAACUGAGGGCUCUUGAGUCUGCUAAUUGGGCUAGCAGGGACUGCAAGAUGCUAUUCAGGACCAGUAAAUUUCCUGGAGGUGGUACCCCUUUCAACCUUGCAAUGGGAGUAGAUUUAUCAUUCGCCGACCCCUUCUUCUGCCACUGA
rnacentral:rRNA from 1 species